rnacentral:rRNA from 1 species
AUUGAACGCUGGCGGCAAGCCUAACACAUGCAAGUCGAACGAGUGGCGGACGGGUGAGUAAUGUCUGGGAAACUGCCUGAUGGAGGGGGAUAACUACUGGAAACGGUAGCUAAUACCGCAUACCAUCGGAUGUGCCCAGAUGGGAUUAGCUAGUAGGUGGGGUAUAGGCUCACCUCGGCGACGAUCCCGAGCUGGUCUGAGAGGUUGACGAGCCACCCUGGAACUGAGACACGGUCCAUACUCCUACGGGAGGCAGCAGUGGGGAAUUGUGCACAAUGGGCGCAAGCCGUAUGCAGCCAUUCCGCGUGUAUGAAGAAGGCCUUCGGGUUGUAAAGUACUUUCAGCGGGGAGGCGUUACCCGCAGAAGAAGCACCGGCUAACUCCGUGCCAGCAGCCGCGGUAAUUC